AAGCAGUGAGGAUUAUAUGCGUUAAACGUGAUGUACCGGGUUCAAUCACGACCGUCUGAUUCCAUUAGAUGAUUAAUCAGCGCAUCUGAGCUU